GCAUUUUAUUCUAUAUCGCCUUUUUUCUUCAAAUCUGCUCCAGUCACUUACUUCUCUCUUAUAAGCUAAUCCUGCCUCACACCUUAAAUCUGUUUCAGUGAUCAAGGGCAGAACUCAUUGUGGCCUUAUCUUUCUUUGUUGUAACUGUUCACCGUCUCUUUCUUACAGACCACUUAUUUCUGAGUAGUAGUUAUUCCUCUCUAUGGAGUCAUGGCAGGAGUCAUUACACAGUGCUUUUGUUCAGAGCAUGGACAUGUUCCUAGUGCUGCUUUGCUUUAACGGCCACAAGUUUCCUCCACUUCCUAGGUUUGGUAUUUAGUUAAGGAAUCAUAUUAAAUUAACCAAUAAUAAAAGAGAUACUUUUGAAGAACAAACUAUUCUUUACCCAUUUUUGUAGCUCAAAAAUAAUUUUUCAAGUUCAUGACCUUAUUAAAAUGAACUUGUGCUUUUUUAACAAACGUUUAUGUUUUGAUUGUUUCUUUCCAUAAGAUAAUAUAAAUAUUAUACUGUAAACCCUUUUCUUUUUUUUUUGAAAAGUCCAAGAAUGUACUUAUACAGGCAUUUUUCCCCACCUAUUUUUGGCCAUUCUCAUACCACAGACUAAAGAGUGAAAUGAUUUGUCCAUUGUAGCUUAUUGUUUAUCAGUAGUUCUUUUGUCAGCUGCUUACAUUUUUUCUUUCAUGGUUUUGUGAAUCAUUUUCAGUAUGUAAUUUAUAGGAACCUUGUCCUCUGAUUAUAGUAGACUCUGUCCCCUCCUCCAGUGAUGGCAUUAUUAGACAUGCUGGUCAUUUACCCUCAGAAAGACUCUCUUAUUAGAAUGGUGAGUGCUUCAGUUAUAGUAUGUUUGAAUUUUUAAAAAAUUCUGUUUUAGAAAUGUAUCUUAUGCUCUCAUGACUCUAUGCAAUUUCUAAACAUACACAUAGAAGCUGAGUCUCUGAUCCGAUAUGUUUUUAUUUGUUCCAUUUAAUUUAUCACAUAGAUUGGGAAGGCAAGCUAAAAGCCUUAAAAAUGCCCUUUAUAUUUUGAGUGAUUUCAGCGUUGAACACUAGUAUACUAUCUAAAUUUGCUGCUCACUUUCUUUAAACUGUGGCAAUUAAAGGCAUCCUUAUACAUGACUUAAUCGUGAAAUGUUUGUCACUCUUACUGCACAGACUUAUCUGCAAUCAUAACUGGUUAGUUUUUUGUUUUGUUUUGUUUUAUUGUUUUUAAUGAAACUGGUACCAUCUGUGCUUUCACAAAAAACUUCCAAUGCCAUUUUUGAGAACUAACCUAACUAGUCAUGCUAACCAGAAAAUCCACUGGGGAGGAGGUUCCUUUUGAAACAAAAUGCUGUUCAGUUAGUAACCAAGUUACUUUGAUUGCAAAAGCAGCUGUGUUUCUGAUGAGUACUGAACAAAUGUGUGUAAUUUUCUGUGCCAGACUUACGACUUUGUUUUCAAGCACUGUAAUGUGGGAUGGAUGGUUAGAAACAAUAAUAUAUUAGGGUUUCUGUUUAACCCUUUCAGGACUGAACUGUAUCUCCUUUUGUUAAUUUUCCCCUGUGUCGUGAUAAAUGUUUGCCAGCAUUCAGUACUGUGUUGGUCCAGAUGUAGGUUUAUAUGCUCAUUUUUAGCUUAUUUCUUGUACCUUGCAGCAUGCUUUACACAUUCAGUCCUUAAGGGGUUUAUUUUACAAACUGUGCGCCUGUAAGGUUUAUUAGCAAUAAGAUAGAAAAUUGAGCAAGUUUAUACCAUAAUUUUGUAGAAAAAAAAGAAUCUGCUCAGUUCCAUAUUUCAUCCAUGAAAAACUUGCAAUACGAGCAGUUUCAAGGAAUAAAUAAAAAGGAAAUGUAAACCAUU
rnacentral:lncRNA from 1 species